rnacentral:misc_RNA from 1 species
UUCCAUGCAAGUCGUAUACGCAAAUAUCUGCACCAUUUGGUGUAGUUAUCCAGCACCUUGAAAAAAACUUCAUUGAUUGCUUUCUCAUCAAUUUUUGGAUCAGCUUGAACAGGUAUGCCAAGUCGAGACUGUGCAUUUGCUAUGGUAAGAAUAACAUUUUCACGCUGAUUCCUUAUGUUGUCUUUCUGAAAGCCAAAUACAUAUUCCAGAAGAUCAAACAUGUCUGCAUCCCGUUCUCCAGAAAUCAUAAAAUCAGCAGGAAGUCUGGGGAAAUGCUCAGUGUACUUAAUGGCAGAUAUGGCACCUCUAACUUCAGGGAAGACUCCAAUAACAUUGGUUAAUGAUGGUCCUUCUAAAGGGACAAUAUUAUAUGGUAUGAGUUCCCCAACUUUUUUAAUUCUUCGCAACUCCUCUAUAAUAAGUCUUCCAACACCAUCAGGAUCUGCAUCUGUGCUAAGUGCCUCCAUUACCUCGACUAAGGCCCUCAAAGUAGCCAACACCUUUUUAAUCUUCCGAGAUCUUUGUUCCAACUCUCCAAGAUUAGCAGAGGUAAAAGCUCCAGAUUCCCGCCAAUUUUGCUCCUCUCUUUGGAUAUCAUCCACUCUAUGCCUUCUCUUAUAACGUUGGUAAAAUUCCCACAAGUGUUCAAUGUCAUGACUGC